rnacentral:lncRNA from 1 species
GGGGAGGGGAGUGAGCCUUCCUAAGGCAUCACAGGAUCACAGCAGGCAGGGUUAGGAGGCCCCUCCAGGAUCAUCAACCAGUUUAACUUAACAGGCAAAAAAAAAACCCCAGAGGCUCCAAGAGUGAGAGUGACUGGCUAAAGGCCACAGAUGGAGCCAAGAAAAGCAAUGGGAGCAGAAGCCAGAUCUUUGGUUUCAUUCCCAGGUGUUUUUUCCUGGAGAGCAGAGGCCUGUGCAGGAACAAGAGAAAUUGGGACACCUGCUCUGACCUUGUCAAAGAGGUCAUGAGCAGGCAAGGUGUGAAGGUGCACCAUGCUGAGUGCGUGCUGGCCUUCCCAGGGCCAGGAGGAGGAGGAGGAGACAGAUCCCGGCACCCUGCUUGCUGCCUGGACCACCUCUGAUCCCAGCCCAGCCUCUGGUGGGGCGGUGGGGAGAACCAUGCCACAAAAGCUGUUAUAACUGCAGGCGACAGUAACCUUUAACAUUUGUUGGGCACAUGCUGUAGGGCAGUUUUCUGUUUUGCAUGUAUUUAAAUCUUCACAACAGUCUUUAAUAAAGACAAUUAUACCCAUUUCACAGAGGAAAAAAAAAAACUUGAGAAGCACAGUGUAUCACCCGACUUAUAAGCAGUGGAGUUAAAAUUUGAUCCCGGUAGCAGCCUGGCUCCAGAGCCCACUCUUUCUAGCCUUUCUGUGCCUGUACAACAAUGGCUGGGCAGUUCCAAUGAUGUCUCUCUGGGCAACUGCAGAGUGGGCAUGUGUGCAUGUGAAAGUGCACAAGGUCAUGGUCACGUGUGAAUCCGACACCCCACACAGUGCCUUGCAUGUGGUACAUCUUAUUAAAUAUUUG